rnacentral:sRNA from 1 species
GACUCGAGCGCCAGCGAGAGAGCAUUGCCGCAGGCAACGACCCGUAGGGCGAAGCGCGCAGCGCUGAGUAAUCCUUCCCCCACCACCA